rnacentral:lncRNA from 1 species
AAAAAAACUACAAUAAGUAGUGUUUAAGGCAAAGAAAUCGGUAAAAAAAUGUGUUUUUCUACUGAGAUGCAUAGGAGGAAGGCCUCACUAGUAAUGCUGCAUCAACCUGUUAUAGAAAGGAGUGUUAUUAUGCGUGAGAGCUAAGAUACGGUUCCUGAUAACCUCGUCGAUGAAGUGCACCAAGUGAUUGGCUGUGUGGUAUUCAUACUUAUGUUUCUGAGUGUUCCUUUCUCGCCAUACAUUGUGUAUCGGGGCUUGGAAGGAAAGGUGGAGGAGGCACUUGUCGUUGCCGUUAAACUGCUGCAAGAGGAGAGUGGAGACUGUGAUGAUCCAGUUUGUAUUGGCUUUCGAUCCCAAGAUAUAUAUAGCCUACUAGCUCAGUCCAAACUGUAAAUGAGUAGGGAUAUGUGAGGAAUAAAUGGUCUCGAGUUUUGUUUGGCUCACCAUAGAGA